UGGAGAGUUUGAUCCUGGCUCAGGACGAACGCUGGGCGGCGUGCCUAAUACAUGCAAGUCGAACGCUUCUUUUCCCACCGGAGCUUGCUCCACCGGGAAAAGAGGAGUGGCGAACGGGUGAGUAACACGUGGGUAACCUGCCCAUCAGAAGGGGAUAACACUUGGAAACAGGUGCUAAUACCGUAUAACAAUCGAAACCGCAUGGUUUCGUUUUGAAAGGCGCUUUACGGUGCCGCUGAUGGAUGGACCCGCGGUGCAUUAGCUAGUUGGUGAGGUAACGGCUCACCAAGGCCACGAUGCAUAGCCGACCUGAGAGGGUGAUCGGCCACAUUGGGACUGAGACACGGCCCAAACUCCUACGGGAGGCAGCAGUAGGGAAUCUUCGGCAAUGGACGAAAGUCUGACCGAGCAACGCCGCGUGAGUGAAGAAGGUUUUCGGAUCGUAAAACUCUGUUGUUAGAGAAGAACAAGGGUGAGAGUAACUGUUCACCCCUUGACGGUAUCUAACCAGAAAGCCACGGCUAACUACGUGCCAGCAGCCGCGGUA
rnacentral:rRNA from 1 species